AGUGAACGCUGGCGGUAGGCCUAACACAUGCAAGUCGAACGGCAGCACAGUAAGAGCUUGCUCUUACGGGUGGCGAGUGGCGGACGGGUGAGGAAUACAUCGGAAUCUACUUUUUCGUGGGGGAUAACGUAGGGAAACUUACGCUAAUACCGCAUACGACCUACGGGUGAAAGCAGGGGAUCUUCGGACCUUGCGCGAUUGAAUGAGCGGAUGUCGGAUUAGCUAGUUGGCGGGUUAAAGGCCCACCAAGGCGACGAUCCGUAGCUGGUCUGAGAGGAUGGUAAGCCACACUGGAACUGAGACACGGUCCAGACUCCUACGGGAGGCAGCAGUGGGGAAUAUUGGACAGUGGGCGCAAGCCUGAUCCAGCCAUACCGCGUGGGUGAAGAAGGCCUUCGGGUUGUAAAGCCCUUUUGUUGGGAAAGAAAAGCAGCAGGUUAAUACCCAGCUGUUCUGACGGUACCCAAAGAAUAAGCACCGGCUAACUUCGUG
rnacentral:rRNA from 1 species